AUGUAGAGUGUGACUGGGGAUUAGGAGGUAAUGAGAGGCAGGUGUGUGAGCAGGUGGAAGAUCAGACGAUGGGCAGGAGCAGGAACACACAGAGGACACUGCUGGGGUCUGAAAUGACAGCAGAAGUAAUGAAGAGACAAACCACCUCCUACUCAGCCAAAGAAAAUGGGAGGCCCCGGGGCAGACCCAGAACAUGCUGGAGGGAUUACAUAUCUCAUCUGGCCUUGGAACACCUUGGGGUCCCUGAGGAGGAGCUGGAAAGCAUCGCUGGUGAGAGGGAUGUCUGGGGUGCUUUGCUUGGUUUGCUGCCCCUGUGACCUGGAUAAACAUCCUGAAAAUUAAUGGAUGACACAAUACAUGCUCCAGCAUCCCACAAAGCCCUGCUCCUCUAAUAGGAAAUGCUACACACAGGCCCAGAGCCUGCCGCCAGCUGAGUUUCACUUGUAUAAUCCUCCAGACCAUGAACUCAUCUUAAGACCAAGUGGAUAAAAGUGAACAUGAGGAUGACCAUGCAUGAAUGCUGGGACAGUUACACAGGACCCUUUGUCUGCAACAGAAAGCAGCACAUGAGGAAUUUGCACGAGCUCAGCGAGACCCAUUUGAAUGCAGCCUGGAACGUGUGGGACUUACAGUGAGGACGGCAGAGGAGAUACUUGCACACCAAUGUUUUGUAGAGAGCCACAAAAAGUGAGUAAAAACAGCUGCUGAUUUUCAUCAUUCAUAUACUUUUUUUGCACUUUGAGCACCUUUUCUGUGCACAUAUGUCUCAAAUAAAUACUAUUUUUGCAUGUGGACUUUUUUGCAUCUUUCUAUUCAGUUACAUUUGGUUUGCAGGUUUCUCCUCUGCCGUCCUUUCUCGUUCAUCUAUUGCACAGACACACCCAAGUAGGCGCAGUUUCACAGCAGCCCUCGGACCUACCUUGAGGACACUGACAAAACAAAUCAACAUUUAAAACUGACUUACUGAUCCUUUGUGAUCAAAAGGAGAAGAAGCCGCCUACAGGGAAACCACAGAGAACAUUUAACACGGUCCGUUCAUCAAAGGUUUAAGACUACAAAGGAGCUCAUUUGCUGACUGGGGAGAUGGAUGUGGAGAUAAAGUGGCUGAGGCGGAGACCCGAAUGAGAGAGGACAGCUAUGGAGUGAAAGGGGGAGAGAAGGAGGAUGACAUGCAGCAAAGGGCCUUGGAUUAGAAUUGAGCCUACAGCCGCUGCAGCAAGGACACAGCCUUUGUACAUGGGCUGCUUUACGAGGCUUCCAUUAAUGAAGAUCUGACUCCCUUUCUGUUCUCUCUCUACCACAACUGUCAGCCUCAUCCCAGACGAGGAUGACAGAGAAUACAGAGCACUGAUCCAGGGCUGGAAUCCAGUUCAGUGCAGGAAAACCCAAAAAGCUGGUGGUCUUCGUGACGGCUGACAGUAGGAGACUUAACACACUGAUAGCUCUGUCCUGGGAUGCUCCCUCGACCUGAUGGAGGUGGUGGAGAAUGAAAGCCAAGCCAACCUCUGUUAUAGACAACAUGUCCUACCCCAUGCAGGACACUGACAGCACCGGGCAGCUCUUUCACUGACAGGAGAGAUAAUGCAGGUCUGCCCUUCCUGCUGCUGUCAGACGACACAACCAACACUGCUCCCAGUGGACCACACAUACGAAAACUGUGGACAAUCAGUCAUCACUCAUGUGCAAAAUCUGCAUCUGUGUAUACCAACUGUGAAUUAUCUAUACUUGGUGCAUGCAAUAAUGUAAAUACUGCCACUGUCUGUUUAUCAUUAUAUGUUGCUUUUAAUUUGUGCUGCUUACAAUGAAUCACUCAGGUGCAGAAUCAGUAUUGUUAAACUGUGCAAUAUCUGUAUUUCCAUCCGGUCAAUGAUGUAAAAUCAGCCACAGUCCGUCUCUUUAUUAUAUUCAGCUUCUUUUUGAUGCUUCCUUAUUAUAUUGCUUUGUGUUUUUACACUGUUUGCUGAUCACACUGCUCUGUUUUUGUACACUUUACUUAUUUAACGUACUUAUAUACUGCUUUGUAUUUUUUUCUGAUGCUUCCUGUUUGCACUCUGUCCCUUUGCUGCAAAUUUCCCCGCUGUGGGACGAAUUAAGGAUUAUCUUAUCUGAUUAUCUGUCUGAACAAAUCAUGCAGCACUCUUAUUGCAGCUUCAUUGAAAGGGGGCACAUGUCUCCCACUAUUUGUUCUCCCAUCCAUC